UCCAGGGAGGCUGUCCAUCUCUUCCCGCCACCCUGAGUCUCCACCCCGCAUUCACUCCCCCUCCUCCGCCCAGUGACCUCAGCCUGAGUAGUCCCGAAACUCUGCACUCCGAGUACUCCUUGGGGCGCUCCUGCCUCCCUGCCCCCUGGUUCUGGUCCUUUCUGUCCCUGGCCUGGGCUUGGCAGAGACAGGCCUGCCACCAGCCGCGAGAGGGAGCAGAUUCCUCCCGAGAAGCAGAAGGGCCGGGGUGGGUGUCCAGGAAGGAGCACGGGCAGAAAGAGGGAGGACAAGAGGGAAACGCGGGGGCCAUUUCUUCAAAGGCUAAUCAGCAUCUUCCGGCAGUGCCACGAGAAGCUGAGCUGAUAAUGAGCCCAGCUCGGGGCUGAUGCCUGAUUAAUGAAGAGGCCACGGGGCUGCAGAGCAGGGCCAGGAAAUUUUUAAUUAAAAUAAUCAAGACUCGGGGCUUCUCUGGACAAAUUGGAAGACCCCCUAACACCGGGCAUCCCUGACCACAGGGCAACAGUUAGCUGGGGCUGAGAAACAGCUGCUCCCUUCAAGGGUUCUAAUAUUCUAUAUCACGAAUACAGAAACUGAGGCUCACAGAAGCUAACUUCUCCAAGGCCACCCAGCCAAGGUUUGAGUCCAGACCGUCUGGCUCCCGAACCCACACACUUGACCACUCCACCGUACAGUCCCCAGCUGAGAGGAGACGCUGGAAUUUAGAGCCACAUUUUACAGCUGAAGAGACGAAGCCUAGGAAGAAAGAGUGAUUUCUGCCUUCUAUGCAGGACCUGAGGACACAGUGGGCUGGGAUCAGUGGAGGAGAGGCCACUGCCAUCACCCCCUAAGACCCUCUGACCUCCAGGUCCUCCCUGCUGCUGAAGUGGUCUUCCUAAAAUGCAGACUGCAUCGCAUCUUGCGGCUGGCCUUCACCUUCAAGAUAAAUCUGAACUACAGGCCUUUCUCCUCCCCACCUCCCAGAGCUUCCAGAACACGGCUCCAUGCUAUUGCACGCCUGCGCCGAAAAUGUCCCUUCCCAUCUCUUCAUCUGGAAAACUCGGCUUUCAAAACCCAGCUGGCAUUGUCACUUCCUCUAUGAGUCCACUCUGCCCCAGAGUUGGGUUCUCAGGUCCGGGCACCCCUGGCCUCUGGCCACACCUCACCGGUAGCACUUGUAUCAUUUGCGAUGGUUGGUUUUUGACUGUCUCUCCCACUAGUCCAAGGGUUCCUGAGAAGCAGGGAUUGUCGUUCGGCUGUGUUUCCCUCACACCUAGCUAGUGCCUAGCACAAAACUUAAAAAAAAAAAAAAAUUCGUGUGUGUGUGUGUGUUUAUAUGUAUUUUUAAUACUAAAGCUUGAACAAAUAAAAGGGGUGCAUGAAAGUCAGUCAGACUCAGGGACAGGGAGCUUCACAAACAAGGACAGAGACGCUCUGCCUUGCUGAUUAUGCGCCUCCCUCCAUAAUUCUGGGGGCCUGCUGUUUCCUGCCUCCUGGCCUUUGCACAUGCUGGUCCCUCUACCUGCAAUACCUUCCUGUCUCCGUCAUCUAAACAAAUCGAAAACUCAGCUCAGACCUUGCCUUCUCUAGGGAGCCCUCCCCUCCCCCACCCAGACAAGGCUGGGUUGGGCCUCCUUUUGUGCUCUCAUAGCACCCUGAUCAUUCAUCCACUGU